CUUAACAUUAAGCACAUCUAAGAGAUUAGAUUGACAGGGUAAAUGUCCCCUCGGUCAUAAAACAUAGCAGGGACCCGCAGAGUGCAACUUCGGCCAGCUUAUAAUGAGCAAGUAGAAGGAGUUCUAGGCAGCGGCUAGAAAAA
rnacentral:sRNA from 1 species